UACGGGGGGGCGAAGCGUUGUUCGGUAAUUACUGGGCGUAAAGGGCUCGAUAGGCGGCCAACUAAGUCAGACGUGAAUCCCGUCGGACUUCAACUGGGGAACUCGUCCGAUACUGGCCAGGCUUGAAUCCGGGAGAGGGAUGUGGAAUUCCAGGUGUAGCGGUGAAAUGCGUAGAUAUCUGGAAGAACACCGGUGGCGAAGGCGGCAUCCUGGACCGGUAUUGAC
rnacentral:rRNA from 1 species